AGGACGAACGCUGGCGGCGUGCUUAACACAUGCAAGUCGAGCGGAAAGGCCCUUCGGGGUACUCGAGCGGCGAACGGGUGAGUAACACGUGGGCAACCUGCCCUUAGCUCUGGGAUAGCUCCGGGAAACCGGAAUUAAUACCGGAUAUGACCUAGGCCGACAUCGGCCGUGGUGGAAAGUUUUUCGGCUAGGGAUGGACUCGCGGCCUAUCAGCUAGUUGGUGGGGUAAUGGCCUACCAAGGCGACGACGGGUAGCCGGCCUGAGACGGGGCGUACCGGGCCAACGACCGUGGGACUUAGGAGACACGGCCCAGACUCCUACGGGAGGCAGCAGUGGGGAAUCUUGCGCAAUGGGCGAAAGCCUGACGCAGCGACGCCGCGUGGGGGAUGAAGGCCUUCGGGUUGUAAACCCCUUUCAGCAGGGACGAAGCGAAAGUGACGGUACCUGCAGAAGAAGCGCCGGCUAACUACGUGCCAGCAGCCGC
rnacentral:rRNA from 1 species